rnacentral:rRNA from 1 species
UACAGAGGGUGCAAGCGUUAAUCGGAAUUACUGGGCGUAAAGCGUGCGUAGACGGUCAUGUAAGUCGGGUGUGAAAGCCCCGGGCUCAACCUGGGAAUUGCAUUCGAGACUGCAUGGCUAGGAUGCGGAAGAGGGAAGCGGAAUUUCCGGUGUAGCGGUGAAAUGCGUAGAUAUCAGGAGGAACACCGGUGGCGAAGGCGGGUCUCUGGGCAACAACUGACGCUGAGGAGCGAAAGCUAGGGGAGCAAACGGG